GAGUAACUAUGGAGUAUUAAUUUAAAUACAAAUAUCAACGUGUUCUGUCAAUGAACCUGCAUCGCUCUGAGGAAACCUUGCCAUCUCAGUUAUACGCUGCCGUGCUUCAGGGUUUUGAAGCCAGCCUGGUGGAGAUGUUUCUGGUGGAGGUAUACAGGUACAAGCACUUCCAGUUCACAAGCAGCAUCAAAAGUACGAUCAGGACAUACCUGGCUCAUACAUGUGAAACAGAUACAGGGUCAAAUUCCAGGCUCUCCUAAAAUUGACCAAAAUGAAAAUGAAUCGUAUAGCAUGGGAGAUGAAGCUAACCAAGAAAAUAAGGAAAACGAAGAAAAUUUUGCAAGAAAUAUCUGUCUUAUUACCUGUGUAUCAGAUGCUUCAAAAUGAGUCCUCCCUGCUGUGACAUGAGCCCAAGUAGUCAGAGCAGUAACUCUCAUGCCUCUCACUUUUGCGAAGUGAACACCUCAUUUGGAGCAGCAGCACCUCCUUUGCAGCUUGAGGAGCCCUGUUCUGCACUGCCAGCUGCUCUUACAAGUUCCAGGAGUAAAGAUGAAAAAGCCCAGUCUGUGCAUCUUGGCCUCUGUUGUGUUUCCGGUAUUACAGCUUGGACCUUAGCUGGGGAGAUAAAAAACUCUAAAGCUGAAGCAAGGUGUAAAAAUUUCAAAAAUCAGAAGAAAGCUAGAUGUGACAGUAAAAGGUUAGCUCAUCCUGUGACACAUGCUUGGGCCUUAAAGCUGGGUUCUGAGAGAAGGCAGCAUUUCUGCAGUGUGUGCAGCAUAGGACUGAAGUCGAAAGAUGCUCAUAAAGUCCAUGAAAAGGGUCAUGAUACGGACCGUGGCUUUAAGUGCGUUUAUUGUCGCACGGCUGAGUGGGACUUAAUGGAGAAUCAUUUAAAAUCACAGAAGGGAUAAAAGAAACCUACCAGUGCCUCAUCAGUGAAAGUGUUCUUGUGUCACAGAGUGCCUGGAAAGUGCACAGAAACAGCCACCUGAGGAAACUUCAUCUCUUUAAACGCACAAUACGUUCAUCAUCUUCUGAAACUGAGCGGAUAAGAAAUCUUCACGUAGUUUGCCGUUAUCAGGAUGUGUUUAAAUGUCUGCACAGUGAUUUUACCAGUCCUGUGAUACUUAGACCCACUGGCUUCAGCUCCAGUAUGGCAUCCUAACAUACGUUGUGUUGGUGGUGACUUGUUGACCAUUGAACCACGCUGGAGAAGCUGGUGUACACUGAAUGGAGGGUUAGGGCUCAUCACAAUAAAAGAAGCCCAUGAUAUAGAAGCCAGACUUAAUGAGGUGGAAAAGCUUCUGAAGACUAUUAUAAACAUGCCAUGGAAGUAUUCAAGAUCUGAAGUUGUCCUCACAUUCUUUGAGAGAUCUCCUUUGGACCAAGUUCUAAAAAAUGACAAUGUCCAUAAAAUUCAGCCAAGCUUUCAAAGUCCAGUUAAAAUAUCAGAAAUCAUGCGAUCAAAUGGAUUUUGUUUAGCCAACACUGAGACAAUAGUCAUUGACCACAGUAUACCCAAUGGAAAAGAGAAGCACCUGGAUGUAGAUUCAGCAGAACACUUGUUCGAAAGUGUUAGUGACUUUACCUCAGAGCUAGAAGACAGCGAUGAUCCAACAGCUUAUGUCACCAAUUUGACAUACUACCACUUGGUCCCAUUCGAGACUGAUAUUCUGGACUGAGGCUGCUCAGUGAUGCAGUCAGCCAGCAUCCAGCCGACCUCUUUGUCCAUAGGCUCUGCUAUCUCCGGCGUUGCAUCUCUGUGAAUAAGGCUGUGCAGGCAAGACCAACAGCAGGGAAGUUGCAGCAAGUGCACCACAAAGCUGGUUUUGUAGUCGAGCACUCUGCUGUGUGUUACAGUGACAUCUUGUAAGGAGGUAACUGCUUUGCUGUUAACGAACUCAUUUUCUGUGAAAGCAAGACAGCAGAGGCCUCUUGGAGCUCAAGGAAAUCUCUGCUGUGUCUGUGGGAAUGCCGCUCUGACACAGCUAUUGGAAACUUGUGCUGUAGUCUGUCACCCACGCUCCUUGAGUUGCAGAGCAAGUUGAGGCUUCCUCUUUUAGGAUACCACGGGAAACUUCCCCAGAUGGCGUGACCACGCUUUUUAUGCUAUGUAAGCAAGAAGGCAAGCAAACCAGCUGAAUUUUGUCAGUUCCCUCUGCGGUUGCUUAAUGGAGGUCUUGUGGGUCACUUUUUGCUCAGCUACGGGAUGACUGGUGCCUUACACGAGAUGUCAGAAAUACCAUCGAGUGCCUACAGGAAACAGAACACAUGAGCUGACUGCUUUACUUCUUUUAAUCAUGGGGUUUUAUAUAAUUACUGAAGAAGCAACUACUCUUUCCUGGAAUAGUAAAGCAGACAGCAGCUGGCAUUGCAAUGGACUGUGCAUGAUUUUGGGGUACCUAUGUGAUUUCAGAGAUCUGGAAAGCUGAUGGGAAAGCUGAGCUGCCCUGCUAAAAAGGGUCAAGGCUAUGGCAGGCUCUUGGAUAUGAUUUUUUUUCAUGUGGACCAGCAAAUGUGAAUGGUGCUUACAGUUGUUUACAUCAGAGAGACAAUUCCCUAUGCAUAUUUCUUCCCAGAGGAUGGGAAGGAAGGCAAUGAGAUUUAUGUUGUGUUUGGACUGAGAAAGAGCGAUAAGCUACAGUGUUUCUACAGUGGUAGGAAAAACAUUCUCUCCACUGCCAGCCUGGCUUAAGGAGACUGUCUAGCUUUUCAACAUCUGCCUGUGGGGCCGGGAGCAGCCUUCAUUGUCAUGUAAUGCCAUGGAUUUUAGUGGAGGCAGGACAGCGGGAGCAAGAGCGGGAUUGGACCCUGCAGCCUCUUGACUACUGAGUAGUUGCAAUGUUGAAAUCUCCUCAGGGUGUCUCUCUUGUGGAGCACUCUGAAAUCCCAGCUCUCACUGUGAGUGCUCAACAUAAACGUGACCUUUCAUUGAGUUUUUUGCGAUCUGUUUGCAAACAUGAAUUAGAAGGGAUCAAAAUGGGAAGGAAUGCAUUUUGGACUUGUUUCUUGGUAAAGGGGCUUGCUUGGUCCUGAAGAAGUUCAUACAUCUCCCUUCUGCAGACUUUCCAUUUCUAUCUAUAGAAUAACAGUCAAACAGAAUUUGCUAAUGUAAAUAAUAAAUUAUUGAGAAUCCUAAUUCUUUUACACAGUAUGUUUUAAAAAUAUAUUUUAAUGAAAUAAAAUAUAACUCACCUUCA